rnacentral:rRNA from 1 species
AUUGAACGCUGGCGGCAUGCCUUACACAUGCAAGUCGAACGGUAACGGGCCUUCGGGUGCCGACGAGUGGCGAACGGGUGAGUAAUACAUCGGAACGUGCCCGAUCGUGGGGGAUAACGAGGCGAAAGCUUUGCUAAUACCGCAUACGAUCUACGGAUGAAAGCAGGGGACCGCAAGGCCUUGCGCGGACGGAGCGGCCGAUGGCAGAUUAGGUAGUUGGUGGGAUAAAAGCUUACCAAGCCGACGAUCUGUAGCUGGUCUGAGAGGAUGAUCAGCCACACUGGGAUUGAGACACGGCCCAGACUCCUACGGGAGGCAGCAGUGGGGAAUUUUGGACAAAGGGCGCAAGCCUGAUCCAGCCAUGCCGCGUGCAGGAUGAAGGCCUUCGGGUUGUAAACUGCUUUUGUACGGAACGAAAAGCCUUCUUUUAAUACAGGAGGGUCAUGACGGUACCGUAAGAAUAAGCACCGGCUAACUACGUG